GAUGAACGCUGGCGGCGUGCCUAAUACAUGCAAGUAGAACGCUGAAGCUUGGUGCUUGCCCCGAGCGGAUGAGUUGCGAACGGGUGAGUAACGCGUAGGUAACCUGCCUCUUAGCGGGGGAUAACUAUUGGAAACGAUAGCUAAUACCGCAUAAAAGUCGACAUCGCAUGAUGUUGACUUGAAAGGUGCAAUUGCAUCACUAAGAGAUGGACCUGCGUUGUAUUAGCUAGUUGGUGAGGUAACGGCUCACCAAGGCGACGAUACAUAGCCGACCUGAGAGGGUGAUCGGCCACACUGGGACCGAGACACGGCCCAGACUCCUACGGGAGGCAGCAGUAGGGAAUCUUCGGCAAUGGGGGCAACCCUGACCGAGCAACGCCGCGUGAGUGAAGAAGGUUUUCGGAUCGUAAAGCUCUGUUGUAAGAGAAGAACGAGUGUGAGAGUGGAAAGUUCACACUGUGACGGUAACUUACCAGAAAGGGACGGCUAACUACGUG
rnacentral:rRNA from 1 species